rnacentral:rRNA from 1 species
GAUGAACGCUAGCGGCAGGCCUAAUACAUGCAAGCCGGACGGCAAGUUGAGUAGCAAUACUUGACCUAGAGUGGCGUAAGGGUGCGUAACACGUAUGCAAUCUGCCCACAGCCGGGAGAUAGCCCUCCGAAAGGAGGAUUAAUAUCCCAUAGGAAGAUGAGAUGGCAUCAUUUUAUUUUUAAACUACGGGGCUGUGGAUGAGCAUGCGGUUGAUUAGCUAGUUGGCGGGUAAGGCCACAAGGCGAUGAUCAAUAGGGGACCUGAGAGGGUGAUCCCCACAAUGGCACUGAGAUACGGGCCAGACUCCUACGGGAGGCAGCAGUAGGGAAUAUUGGGACAAUGGGUGUAAGCCUGAUCAGCCAUGCCGCGUGCAGGAAGAAGGCCUUCUGGGUUGUAAAC